GACGAACGCUGGCGGCGUGCUUAACACAUGCAAGUCGAACGGUGAAGCGCCUUCCUUUUUGGUGGGUGUGGAUGAGUGGCGAACGGGUGAGUAACACGUGAGUAACCUGCCCCCUUCUUCUGGAUAACCGCAUGAAAGUGUGGCUAAUACGGGAUAUUCUGGGUCUGUCGCAUGAUGGGUCUGGGAAAGAUAUUGUUUCGGUGGGGGAUGGGCUCGCGGCCUAUCAGCUUGUUGGUGGGGUGAUGGCCUACCAAGGCGGUGACGGGUAGCCGGCCUGGGAGGGUGGACGGUCAGACCGGAGCUGAGACACGGCCAAGAUGCCUACGGGAGGCAGCAGAGGGGAAUACUGCACGAUGGGGGCAAGACUGAUGCAGCGAGGGCGCGUGAGGGAUGGAGGCCUGCGGGUUGUGAAAUUCUUUCGCCAGUGAAGCAGGCCUGCCUCGUUUGUGAGGGGGUUGACGGUAGCUGGAUAAGAAGCGCCGGCUAACUACGUG
rnacentral:rRNA from 1 species